AAUACUCAAAGCGUGGAGUGGACAAGUGAAUUCUACCCCUUUGGGUCAACCAUCUCCCUGACCUCAGCGGUUUAAAAACCACCACAUAGAAACAAGCUGCGCACAGAAACGAGGUUGUGCCAGAAAGGAGCGGGAAGACUCCGGAGAAGAGAUCCGGUAUAGUUUAGCAGCUCUGGCUGAGCCAGAGUAGACUCGCGCCCUGGCGCAGUACCCUCUCCCAGGUCACCAGGCGUGGAAUGAAAACCGCCUUUUCGCUCCAGAAAAGUGACCCCAAGAGUCGUCCCUCGCUGCAAGGUUGGCAGGGAUCUGACUUAGCUUUCCUAAAAAAAAAUUAAAACGGUAUUGAAAGGCCCACAGAGGACCCAGCACACAGGAGCCCAGACAAACAGCUCUGGCGCUCCCUUCUUCGCUUUUGGAUCCUGCCUAUGAGAGAGAAAAAAGAAGCCCAAGGGAUCCGGGCAUGUCUGUGCACCUUGUACAUGCCUGAUAUCUACAGAGGCCAGAGGAAGAUUGCAGAUCUUACAGAGCUAGAGUUACAGAUAGUUGUGAACCACCAUGUCUGUUGGUGAGAUCUGAAGCACCACUAAUGUUCACAUAACCUAAGAAGACCAUCAAGGAGAGGCGGCGCCAUCUUCGGCUCCAGACAACCGGCCACCUUCCUGGCGAGAGCCACAGAGCUUCUGAGGCAGCGCCAUCUUCAGCUCNNNNNNNNNNNNNNNNNNNNNNNNNNNNNNNNNNNNUAUAUGUCCUACAGUGUUGAACAAAACACAAGAAGAAGAUAUUUGGGGCCAUGAAUAACUCAAGGACCCAGCCAGAUCUCAACAGUGGCACCUGCCCAACCUGCCAUUGUGCAAGUUUCUGCCACAUACUUUGAGAAGACACCUUCAAAGCUUAACAGGAGACCCUUUCAUCCUUGUAUGUAUAAUAAGAAAAUAUAUUAUGGUAUAGUGCUUCAUCUCUGAUUUGGGGUUUCACUGUGGAUGCUAACUCAAUAAUCAUGAAUUUAAAAUGCUGUCACAGAGAGUCCUGGCUGAAGGGAGGGUCACAGAGAGUCCUGGCUGAAGUUGGAGUUACAGAGAAUCCUGGCUGAAGGGACAAAGCUCAGAGAAUACAUUUAACAUCCCCUAGGUACCCAAUAUAUCCAUGAAUUUGUAUGUGACACAAAAACCUAGACAGGGAUAGGCACAUAUUUUCUUUCUUGCCUCUUCAACAACAACCCUAAAGUAAUUGGACCAAAGUGUGACCUUGCUUUGAUUGCUUUCUCAUUUGGGGUUCAUAUCUGAGCUCUCAAGCUUUCUAAUUUACGUAAUUGGAAUGAACUUAUGGGGCAAGUAUUUUAUGAAAGUACUCUGCGUAAGAUCUUAAAUUAUUGGAAAUAAUUUACCUCAUGAAAGAUAAUAUUUCUAGUAAUGUACAAAACCUAGAAAAAUUCUAAAAAUCACCAAAGAGAUACAAAACAAAGUAAGACUACUCAAAAAGUGAGGGUGUCUACUUGCUGUUGAAGGUAUUUUAUCUGUAUUAAUGUCUGCCACAUAGUAAAACACAUGGCUAUGUAUGAAAGGUAUGUUUCUUAACUAUUGCCUUGUAGAAAUUAUCAUUGUGUUGGAGGCAUAAACACGUCUGUGCUAGUUAACUCACAGCGUGUGUCAUGAGCUUAGGUGUGGUGUACUUGUGUUCUCUCAUUGAGGGUCUUUCAAAAGGUUGUGGAUGGUAUUGACUACUAAUACAGUUAUAGGCGUCAAUCUAAAUGACUGAAAAGUGAAGGAUCUGCUUUCCAGACACUCAUGUUUAUUGGUAGAAUUUCAUCUUUUCAAUGAAAAUUUUCAUUUUUUGCACUGACAGUUUUCUUGAGUCCAUUUCAUUUUCUUGUCUCAUAAACCUCCAAGAAAACCAUUAGAGGUGCUAAAGGGGAAGACAGAAAGGGCCAAAAUGGCAAGACAGAAUCAUAAAUAAUAGAGAAGUUGCACUCACUCAACUCCAAAAUAUUCUGGUUAGAAGCCAGUUGUGUAAAGAAUGGUUUUACUUUAUUUCAUUAAUAUCAGGAGGGAACAUCAUAGAGACUAUCUAACAAGGUCUGUGCUCAGACCCCCAGAUAGUCUUCUGAGUGCACAAAAACACCCUGUUCCUUGAGAAUACAAGAUAAUUUUACAAUUUAAUCUAAAUCCAAGAUCUUGCCUUCAAGGUAGGCUCAAGUGGGGAUGAGUUCACUUGAUGGAGGAAGUUAGCUGGGACACAUCUCUGUAUCUAUAGACCUGGGACACGAGGGAAACAAGUGUUCUCUACCAAGCCAGUGUGCCACAGGAUAAUGACAUUACAGUUUCCAGAAUGUGGAGAAGGUUGGUGAGACAGCAACCAUAAUAAUUUUGAAACUGAGCUAAGCAAAUAUUGAAUGGUCCUUGAUUCUGUUUCCAGGACAGGGCACGGCUUUGGUGGUCCUGGCUUUAGCCUCUAGGUGCUUUUGUUGACCUUAUUUCUCCACAAUAUUCUCAGUUUGUGUUAUGCAAGGAGAAACCUACCUGAGAACUAGAUCUUGUGUACUCCUGUUCUGACUAGUUUUUCUUUCAACCUAUUUUACCAAUACUUUAGUGCUGUAAUUUCCUUGCAGAUUUGAAAAGACUUACUCCAUGGAUCUGGAGAAGCCUUUCUACUUUGGGUUCUGCUGACAAGGUUUAGGGACUAUGCCAUACAGCUCUCACCAUGACUUGUGCUUCACUGAAGGGUUCCUUCAGCAUACCCUGAGUUGCUUGAAAUGAUGGGAUUUGCAGCAGAAUAUUCAAAUGCCUUAUCUGCCUGAGCUUUUUCAGAAAUUUGUGUACGUCUAUCUACACUCACUCUGUUAUCACUAACGAAGGCCCUAUAACCCAUUUUUUUUUCCUGGUCACUCCUAGAAAGUACUUUUAAAUUUUUUCUUUGCCUAAACAAAGAGGCUUAGUUAGCUCAUGAUGAUCAUUCCCUGUAGUUUUUUUUUUUAAACUAAUCAAUCCCCCAGUUUAUUGUCUCUUGCAUAUAAGAGGCGAGAAGAAACCAGGGACACCCUUAGCAGUUUGCUUGAAUAGUUUAUUGGGUAAUUUUUCAUGAUUAGUGUUAUUGACAUGUAAAUUUUCCUCAGCUUUGUGCCACUUGAGAAGACUCUGUCCCCCUGAUUUUGGAGAAUAUUCUUAUUCCUUUUGAGACUUCAUUACCAGUAUUUUCUAAGUUCAGACUGCUAUCCAGAUCCUUAUGGAGGUGACUUACACAUUUUGUAUUAUUAUAUUUCACAUCUUUCUAGCCUCUGACUGUACAUGCUCUGGUGACACUUCCAUACUUUCUGAAACUGUUCAAAAGUAUUCUUCUAGGCAGCAAAAUAUAUGUUAUUCAUCUAUUGCUGUGUAACAAGUACCAUCUAACAAGUAGGAUAUGACCAUAUACAUUUAUUUACUUUGUUACAGUUUGUCUCAGUCUCAUACCCAGUGACUUAAGGGCCCUCUGUUUCUAGGACUUGCUCAAUGAUAUAUCUAGGUGCUUCAAGGGUUCUGAACACUUAAUUGAAAAAAAAAAUUCUAUACCAAGCUCAAAAUGCCCACUAUUGGACUAAAUACUUGUGGCCCUGCCUGGGCCUUGAUCACAAGCAUACCUCAGUGCUUUGUUAUAUGAAUCUCUUCAAUAUGGCCCCUUAUCAUGUGAAUCCAUGAGGUCAGAACAGUAAAAGUACGUGUUAGUGAAUGGAAACAACAGUCCCAUUAAACUUAAUCAUUUAAGAGAUAUAAUUUUUAUAUUCCAUUUAUAUUCCAAUGGGUAUGAAUUAUAUCAGAAAGUAAACAAUUAUCACCUAUCCCCCAAAUAAGCCUUCCUAGUAAGGUUGAGAGAGGCAGUAAUCUAUAGUUAUAGAAAUAAGAACUUAGGGUGCAAUUUAAUACUAUAUACAUUAAUAGGAUAUUACCAGAUGCUCCUUUAGGUCUGAGAUUUAACUAUCCAUAGAUUUUUGGCCUAACUAAUGGAACCAUAUUUGAGGUCUGUCUUGUGGAGUAGUCUUGAAAUCUAUCCAAAAAGUGCUUGGUCACCCCCAUAACAUUUGUACCACCAAUAUAUUACUGCAUAUCCUUUCCUAGUCAGUCAUUAUUAUAGCUCACAGGGUUGACAUAUGGGUGUGUUGAUGACUUUUCUCCCCCAAGUAGCAUGUUGUAGUAACAUUCUUUGUGAAUUCUAGAAUUUUGGUUUCUUUAAAACAAACAAACAAACAAACAAACAAACAAACACAGGAAUAUAAGAACAUGCUGUUAUUUUAAUCUCAGCUAUAGGGAUGUGGGGCAGCUUUGGACUAUCUGCAGCAGCUGACUAUGAUUUGCCCCAUGCUCUAGCAGAAGUGUGGUUUUUCCAGCAACAGAUAGCUUCUGUAAUUGUGUGAUAUUUGGACUUCUUGAAACUUUUCAGAGGUGUAUAAAUGCUAGAACCCUGAUAGGUGUAAUGGUUGUUGAUAUUUUAGGGAGAUUGGUUGUGGUUUGUUAGUAGCCAUGACCAGAGAAGAAGCAAAAGGAAAGAAUUUAGAUUCAGGUUUCCUAAUUCCUCUUCCCUCUCUAUUUUUCUCAUAUCUAGUAUUAAGGGGUGAAACAGCAGGGAUAAAGGGGGAAACUAAAAAGAACCCACAAAAUAGCAAAGACCAGCUACAGCAUGUAUUAAACCUAUCAUUAUGAUAGGUAGACAGUAGAGAUGAAUCUUCUAGAUCAGUAUCAUCUUCAUUUCUCCAUGUCCUAUCAUCAAGUAUGAGAUGUUUUAAGUAACUAAUGCCGAUGGAAAUGGCCUGUAAUUUGGGGGCUGUUUACUGACCUCAUUGACCAACAACUC
ensembl:antisense